rnacentral:lncRNA from 1 species
GAGCGACCUCAUGUCACUCAAACCAGCUGUAUUAAGGAAGGUGCAAGCUUUUGGGAUUUCUGUUUGGAUUUAGUUUAGGUUCAAAAGAGCACGCACAGAUCCUGAGUGUUGUCAAGCACCCGUGACUGGGAAACGGAGGCGUCCGAUCCGUAUUGGAGUCAAUUCGCCACUUAAUUGAACACAGCCUCGAAGGGAAGGGCCAUAUUUGUGGGCCUGUCUAACAAUUAAGAGUGACCACAUGGAAUGGGGGAUGAAAGGGUUAAAGAAGAACAAAUAUUGAACACAGCUUUUCUAUGAACAAACUGCAGGCAGCUGCUGCUUUGCAAGGGACACUGACGCUAGAGAGGAAGCAGUGCUUUGAGUUUGCCAUUCUGGCAAUGUCCAAAUGUGGAAGACUGGAUAACAGGGAAGCAGUUGAUUGAGAAUAAUGGUUCUGUUUUGGAGGUUGAUGGAAGAUGCCCUUUGGCCAGGAAAACAGCUCAUGCUUUUAGAGGAGGAUAAUUGCCAGAAGGCCUCUCUGAAUAAAAAAAAAUCCUGACCUCACAGCCUUUGCGCUUACUUGGGUUAGAAUGCCACAGUGAACAUUGCCCCUUGUCAUCACGUAGAGGUGCUCACAGGUAAAGCAACACAAGGAGCAUAUAGGAUCACCUGCUGGAUCUUGUUUUUAACACCAGGGAGGAAAAUGGUGUCUUGGGUAAUGAACAUGCCUCAAGACUGAGCUGGCCAUCUUCAGUGUCAUCCAAACCCUCAGUGGCCCCUGAAAAACCCUUUGAAAAGAUUCAGCACGUUGCCAUGGAGAACAUCCCACUGAAGGAAUGUAUAGAAGUAGCAGGUGUCAGCUGCCUACCAGUUGCUUUCAUCUCUAGAAAUCUGUGACUUGCAGUAUGACAAGAACAAAAGGUGACAAUACAAAGGACAAAGGGCAAGGAAUACAGACGGAGAAGCCGCUUAGAGUCUAGGAUGGCAGAGGUUCUCUUGAUCAUUUCAUUUUUGAGCGCUUGUAGAGCUUUGGUGUACCAGAGGUGCUUGAACAGCUUACCACACCACAGAUGAAUGGCCUUUGGAUUUCUCCUAAGAAAAUGUGGCUACCUGAAAUUCAACUCCAUUUUCUGGUCUUCAAUAUUUCUUUUGUGUUCAGUUUGCCAGCUGAGGAGAAGUGGCUAAGCAUAGCCUGUUACUGAUGCUAAAGCCCAAGUUCUGAACCUAACAACUCCAGCAACAUGAUCCUGUUUCAAGAGACAAAAAAGUGACUAA